GUGACUUGGCACAUUUAUGAAGGAUUUGGGGAUACUGGGGAGAUGCUGUAGUUAUAUGUUUGAUGGACAACAGAACACAAAUGGUUAAUCUAUGAUGUGAUGCUCAGAUCAAUAGAUGAAGUUAACAAAAUCAAUUUUUAAUGAGAAUUUAUGAUGUGGUCUGGAAGUGAGUUUUGCUCCCUGACUUGUGUGGAGCUGAAAUAAGAAGCAAUAUGUUAAGAUGAUCACACGAUUACAAAAAAAAAAUCUAUCCUUCUUUAACAUCUAAGGCUGAAUGCAUAAUAUCUCCCAUGCUUUCAUCCAUAGUCACUGCUCUAAUUCAAUUCAUUCUUUGCAAACUGCUUUGGGGAGAACUUGCAUAUGAAAGAUGACUUAUGAAAUCAAAUUCACCUGCAUAUUUAGUGCUAAGUGCAGAUGUGGCAAAAGCUCUAAUUCAGUAAGCAAAGAUAAGAAAUGGAAAAACACCCGAGAGUUAUUCAUGAUACCUUGUCACUGGACAAAUAAAAUAAGGCAAGCAUUCGAGGGUCAGAGCCUUUUCUUCAGGCCAUGCAAAAACAAUGCCAAGGGAAAACAUGAACUUCUAAAUGCAUUCCCAGUUAUAACAUAAUUCAGCUUUAUAAAUGAUGCCAGUAAGAAUAAUUAUAAUGAGAUUCAUUUAAAUUAUAUUUAUUAUUUCUAUUGCUGUAGUGCCCAAAGGCCCCAGUCAGGAUCAGGGCUCCAUUGUACAAAACACUGUACCACCACAUAAGAUCCACUCCCUGCCCUGAAGAGUUUGCCAUCUAAUUAAAGACAAGAGACAAUAAAGUAUUGUCUGGAUUUGACGCCCUCAGACAUCAUAUGCAAUAUGUCAGACACUGGCUGGAUAAAGGCAGCCCUGGGGCAUGUCUUUGCCCCCUGGCUUCGGGGUACAUGUGUCUUUGUACACAUCAUGCCCCAGUUUGAGCCAACAGAGAUCCUAAAGGUACAAUUUGAAGAUCCUGAAGCACUGUGUGACUGGAGGGGAGCCACAGAACCCUGAAGUGAUGGCUUAGUGGAAAAGCCAGACAGGACUGGAUAUUUAUGAAGGCAACGGACAGACAGAAGUCCUACAUUCACAUUAGCUCAUGGAUAUUGCAUUUAAAAUUAGCAAGAGACUUUGUUAGAGGGUUGGCUGCUUCCCAAGUACCCUCUUGUGGUCAGAAGUCACUCUAAGGCACACUGCGUCUGUUUCCCCUCUUGGUUCCUCCAUAAACUCAAAACAACAACCUAGUGGUAGUUAAAAUACUACCCUUCUGGGAGUCCAAUUUAUUCAGUUCUCUAGGUACACACUGGUCCUCCAGGCCCAAGUCCAGUUCAGUCUCUCUGUCUCUCUCCAGCCCUUCUUCCCAAUACAAAGUUUCUCUCAGGCUCUAAGCCGGAGUUUGUCCUUCCAGGUGCCAUGAGGCUGUUAACCUGGCACAGGUGGACUGGAGCAGUUCCUUCCAUAAUCAGGGUUGGCUGGCCCCAGUCCACCAGCCCUUAAGGGGCAAGCCACGCUAGCUUCUUGUUAAAUACUUACCCCUAGUUUAAAUUCAUCAUGCAGAAACCCACCAUAAUCACUACAGAGCAAAUAGUAAUUGACUGUGAAAGGCUUCAUUAUUUUGCUUUAAAUUACAAUGGAGACAUUAAAUGCAGCUUUUCAUUGGCUGUAAUGUAACCUCAUAACAUAAGAUUUCACUGUGACUGGUCUUGCAUUCUUUGUUGAGCCAAAACUCCCAAUGAAGUCAAUGGGAGUUUCGGGUAGCACAAAAUGUGAUAUUUGGGCCUUUUGAUGUCAUGGUGAGGAACUUGGUAUAAGAACCAAAAUAGAAUAGAGACUGCCAAUUAAAACAUCUGGGUUGUUUGUUUAUUUUUGUAACAGGGG